rnacentral:tRNA from 1 species
AGGGUAGUAGUUAAUAAUAACAUUUAACUUGCAAUUAAAAAUAGCUGACUAAGUCAUUCUAUCUUA